rnacentral:rRNA from 1 species
UCCAGACUCCUACGGGAGGCAGCAGUGGGGAAUAUUGCACAAUGGGCGAAAGCCUGAUGCAGCAACGCCGCGUGAAGGAAGAAGGGUUUCGGCUCGUAAACUUCUAUCAACAGGGACGAAAGAAAUGACGGUACCUGAAUAAGAAGCCCCGGCUAACUACGUGCCAGCAGCCGCGGUAAUACGUAGGGGGCAAGCGUUAUCCGGAUUCACUGGGUGUAAAGGGAGCGUAGACGGCCAUGCAAGCCAGGGGUGAAGGCCCGGGGCCCAACCCCGGGACUGCCCUUGGAACUGUGCGGCUAGAGUGCGGGAGGGGCAGGCGGAAUUCCUGGUGUAGCGGUGAAAUGCGUAGAUAUUAGGAGGAACACCAGUGGCGAAGGCGGCCUGCUGGACUGCAACUGACGUUGAGGCUCGAAGGCGUGGGGAGCAAACAGGAUUAGAUACCCCCGUA